UACAGGGGGAUAACACUUAGAAAUAGGUGCUAAUACCGCAUAAGCGCACGGUUCCGCAUGGAACAGUGUGAAAAACUCCGGUGGUAUACGAUGGAUCCGCGUCUGAUUAGCCAGUUGGCGGGGUAACGGCCCACCAAAGCGACGAUCAGUAGCCGGCCUGAGAGGGUGAACGGCCACAUUGGGACUGAGACACGGCCCAAACUCCUACGGGAGGCAGCAGUGGGGAAUAUUGCACAAUGGGGGAAACCCCGAUGCAGCGACGCCGCGUGAGUGAAGAAGUAUCUCGGUACGUAAAGCUCUAUCAGCAGGGAAGAAAAUGACGGUACCUGACUAAGAAGCCCCGGCUAACUACGUGCCAGCAGCCGCGGUAAUACGUAGGGGGCAAGCGUUAUCCGGAUUUACUGGGUGUAAAGGGAGCGUAGACGGCAGCGCAAGUCUGGAGUGAAAUGCCGGGGCCCAACCCCGGAACUGCUUUGGAAACUGUGCAGCUCGAGUGCAGGAGAGGUAAGCGGAAUUCCUAGUGUAGCGGUGAAAUGCGUAGAUAUUAGGAGGAACACCAGUGGCGAAGGCGGCUUACUGGACUGUAACUGACGUUGAGGCUCGAAAGCGUGGGGAGCAAACAGGAUUAGAUACCCUGGUAGUCCACGCCGUAAACGAUGAUUACUAGGUGUCGGGGGGCCAAGGCCCUCCGGUGCCGCCG
rnacentral:rRNA from 1 species